CUUCACUCGUAACCCACUGCCAUGGCGGAGGAAGGCAGUGCUGCUGGAGGUGCAAUGGACAUUAAUACUGUUUUACAGGAGGUGCUGAAGACCGCCGUCAUCCAUGAUGGCCUAGCACGUGAAAUUUGCAAAGCUGCCAAAGGCUUAGACAAGUGCCAAGCCCAUCUUUGUGUGCUGUGUGUGCUUGCAUCCAACUGUGAUGAGCCUAUGUAUGUCCACUUGGUGGAGGCCCUUUGUGCUGAACACCAAAUCAACUUAAUUAAGGUUGAUGACAAGAAACUAGGAGAAUGGGCAGGCCUCUGUAAAACUGACAGAGGGGAAACCCCGUAAAGUGGUUGGUUGAAGUUGUGUAGUAGUUAAGAACUAUGGCAAGGAGUCUCAGGCCAAGGACGUCAUUGAAGAGUACUUCAAAUGCAAGAAAUGAACAAAUAAAUCUUUGGCGCACACACACACAGACACGCACUUAAAAAAAAAAGAAAAAAAAAAGAAAAAAUAAAUUGGACUCAGUCCUCCUCAAAAAUAACCAAUCUAUUGCUGCCUCAUUAUUCACAGUCCCCUCCCUGCUGCCCUCAGACGUUCUCCUCAGGCUCCACACUGCAGCCCUACACUAGGCCACUACCACUGCCCCCCGUGGUAACAUCUUCUUGCACUUUGUACAGAACAAGCAAAUGGCUUUUGUCCUGAAUUAUUCAGGAAGGGAGGGAGACAGGUGGGAAGGAAGUCAGGAAGGCAGAAAAUAAAAAUCGUUUGAUACCACAGAAAUACGAAGGAUCAAAGGAGAUUAUUAGGAACAAUUAUAUAUUAUAUGCCAACAAUUGGAUCACCUAGAAGUGGACAGAUUUCCAGAUGCAUACAACCUACCAAGAAUGAAUCAUAAACAGAAAAUCUAAAGAGACCAAUAGCAAAUAAGGGUCACCAUUACUCUGAGAAGAGGACAGUAGGUAGGGAAGCAGUACAACUUUUAACUUGGAGCAAAACCAUGCUCUAGGGAAACAUUAUUAGCAUCCCCAGCAACAGCAGCAGCCAUCGCUGCUGCCAAUACCUGCAAAUGGAAAAAAGGCCAGCAGCCAAAAUGAAGGCUUGACUAUUGACCCGAAGCAUUUUAGGAAACCAGGAAAGAAGCCCUUCACCAAACAAAGCUACUUCUUUGUGGGAAGUGUUCCUUCUGACAUCACUGAGGAGGAAAUGAGGAAAUGUGAGAAAUACGGGAAGGCAAUUUCACAGAAAGAGGAUUUAAAUAAACAAAAAGGAAAAAUGAAAAAAUUAAAAACAAUAACAACAAAAAAGAAACAUGGGAAGGCAGGUGAGGUCUUCAUAAGGAUAAAGGCUUUGACUUUAUGCACUUGGAAGCACAAACCCUAGUAGAGAUUGCCAAAGUGGGUCUGGACAAUAUGCAGCUGUGUGCACUCUGCCUGCCAUAGUGCAUCCCUUACAGUCCGAAACCUUCUAACAAACUUUUGGAAGAAGCCUUUUCUUUAUUUGACCAGGUGGAGGGGGCUGUAGUCACUGUGGAUGAUCAAGGAAGGCCCUCAGGGAAAGGCACUGUUGAGUUCUCAGGGCAGCCAGUUGCUCAGAAAGUGCAGGCUGCUUCCUGCUAACCACAUUUCCUCAUCCUGUUACUGUGUAGCCCAUAGGCUAAUUAGGUGACAAAGAAGGACUUCCAGAGAAGCUGGUUGUAAAAAAUCAGCAAUUUCACAAGGAGUGAGAACAGCCACCCCAGUAUGCACAGCAUGGCUUUUGAAUAUGAGUAUGCCAUGCACUGGAGGGUGCUCAUUGAGAUGGAGAAGCAGCAGCAGGACGAAGUGGAUCACAAUAUCAAGGAGGCUCAUGAGAAGCUGGAGAUGGAGAUGGGGGUUGCUUGCCUUCAUCAAUGCCAGGUCAUGCUAAUGAGGCAGGAUUUGAUGAGGUGCCAAGAAGAGCUGUGGAGGAUGGAAGAGCUGAACAAC